rnacentral:lncRNA from 10 species
CGCGUCUCCCCGACCCCUCUCUCGCUGGCUCAGAUGAAUGAUGACGGCAGAGGGCAGAGAGCUUAGAGGACGCGGUACCAAGCCCCGUCCCUCGCCCAUCCCAACGAAGGUCUUAGAAUACAAUCAACCAACUACAGGAAGAAUUUGUAGAGGAGGUUUUCUUGUGUGUCUGCAUCGCCCCACCCACAGCCAUGUGAGGACACAGCAUCUGUGGCAACAAGGAGCCAUCUUGGGAGCAGAGAGCAAGCUCUUCCAGACACUGAAUCUGCCAGCACCUUGAUCUUGGUCCAGCCUUCAGAACUCAUAUAAAAUGUCAAAAUACUGAGCUGUUGAGUACCGUAUCAAACAUCUGGCAAUUCUGGACAA